ensembl:lncRNA
ACACAUACAUGUGCUGCAGGCUUAAAGAGGACCUGCUGGAUCACUAGUUCAAAUACAAAUGUGUGUUAACAUCUCCUCCAAGCUGGACCUGUACACCUCAGUUGCUCUCACAAACAUUUAUUGCAUUAUUUAAUUUUAUUUUUUAGGUUUCUGUCACUAGUUGGACUCUGGAGUAAAUGUUAAAAACCCAAAACUCCAUAAUGAGGUGAAUUAGGAUUCACCUAAUUAUACAUAACUGUAUGCCCUAACCAUAGGGCCAGCUGUGAUUCAUUCUGAUUUGUUUUUCUGCCUAACCUGUGCUGAUCUAACCAACAAUUAUAUGAGCCUUUUACCACCUGCCGGGAGAACAGCUCUAAUUCCCUUUCCCCCCACUAAAUCUGACUUUGUCAAUCAAGAAAUAAGAGGUGCUAAAUAGGGACCUGUGGUCCCUGCUUCUCAAUGAAGCCUUCAUUCAGAGCAACGUUGGCUGUGGUAGGCUGUUCAGGUCUCUGUGACACAAUUUUGUAACCAAACCUGCUUAUUUUAGGCUGUAAUAUUGUGGGGAUCUCGCUGCAAGAGCUGCAAGUCUUCGGUAAAGGUGAAGGAGGACAGCUCCGGGUCCGAAGACCCAACGCCAGGUUUCUGGGGAACUUCACAACCGGAGGUGGAUGAACAGCAGCUCUCAGCACCACCUGGGCAGAACUGGCCUUCUCUGAGCUGCCACUUCUUGUCCGGAUGCCAGCAGGCCUUCUCCCACCUCUGCCACACCACAUCUGGCUUGGUUCGUGCUCUCCUCCAUUUUAACAACGGUGCCGGGACUCAGAAUUUCAGAAUGGGGGUAUGGGUGUCAGACUCGCUAGGUACACGGGAAAUAAAACAGUAAGCAGUGUGACUGCCAGCAUAAAGAUGUAAGACGCACAAGCUUUGAGCUUGAAAUGCCAGGAAAACUAUACUUAAUGAUUUUUCAUGAGUUUUACCCCAUUUAUUAGUUCACAGACUUGUUGGAAAUGUUUGUGAACGCUUUCUGAGCUAUAACAUAUAGUUCGUGGUAACUUUGCCAUACCCUGCCUAAAAAGACUAACUUUUAAAACGAGAUCUGCUUUCAAAUGGAGAGGCUCCUUCCAUCUGAUCAUGUCUCAGCACCAAGCACCAUUAGGUCCUGGGAGCUUUUUACUGCUCAAAGGGAAAAGAUCAUUGCCCCAUUCUGACACUGACAAAUUGAGUCCUUUUAUUUGCUAGACUUUCAAAAUAAGGCUUGCCUGCCAUUUCUAUGAAGGAAUGCACUGGCUUCAAUAUCUUCCUCUAAAAAGGAUUUGGAGGAAGCAGCAGCCCCCAGGCGCAUUCCCUGCCAUUGAUCAGCGAUGCACCUGACACCAGGGGAGGAGGCCCUGCCAGCUGCCCCUGGACAUGAGCACCAGUCUGCGCCACCUGGGCAUGUUUAAGUGCAUUCACAGAUAUGUCCCACAUUUAUUGAUAUGUCUUGGUUUGCUGUGUGAUGAGAACGAACUCGUGAAUGCUCUGAAAGUGUUUUUUCGCAGCUGUAAUUAAAUCAGUUCCACUGCACCAGCAGAUCAGAGGGAUCUCUUUCUUUCAACCUGGGGAAAUAAAACCAUCCUUGGGCUUCA